AACGAACGCUGGCGGCAGGCUUAACACAUGCAAGUCGAACGCCCGUAGCAAUACGGGAGUGGCGGACGGGUGAGUAACGCGUGGGAACGUGCCCUGAGGUACGGAAUAACUGCGGGAAACUGCAGCUAAUACCGUAUGAGCCCCUUACGGGGGAAAGAUUUAUCGCCUUAGGAGCGGCCCGCGUCGGAUUAGCUAGUUGGUGGGGUAACGGCUUACCAAGGCUUCGAUCCGUAGCUGGUCUGAGAGGACGAUCAGCCACACUGGGACUGAGACACGGCCCAGACUCCUACGGGAGGCAGCAGUGGGGAAUCUUGCGCAAUGGGGGCAACCUUGACGCAGCCAUGCCGCGUGAAUGAUGAAGGCCUUAGGGUUGUAAAGUUCUUUUGCCCGUGACGAUGAUGACGGUAACGGGAGAAUAAGCUCCGGCUAACUUCGUGCCAGCCGCCGCCGUAAAAC
rnacentral:rRNA from 1 species